rnacentral:rRNA from 1 species
AUGAACGCUGGCGGCGUGCCUAAUACAUGCAAGUCGAGCGAACAGACGAGGAGCUUGCUCCUCUGACGUUAGCGGCGGACGGGUGAGUAACACGUGGAUAACCUACCUAUAAGACUGGGAUAACUUCGGGAAACCGGAGCUAAUACCGGAUAAUAUAUUGAACCGCAUGGUUCAAUAGUGAGAGACGGUUUUGCUGUCACUUAUAGAUGGAUCCGCGCCGCAUUAGCUAGUUGGUAAGGUAACGGCUUACCAAGGCAACGAUGCGUAGCCGACCUGAGAGGGUGAUCGGCCACACUGGAACUGAGACACGGUCCAGACUCCUACGGGAGGCAGCAGUAGGGAAUCUUCCGCAAUGGGCGAAAGCUUGACGGAGCAACGCCGCGUGAGUGAUGAAGGUCUUCGGAUCGUAAAACUCUGUUAUUAGGGAAGAACAAAUGUGUAAGUAACUAUGCACGUCUUGACGGUACCUAAUCAGAAAGCCACGGCUAACUACGUG